UGGGGAAUAUUGCGCAAUGGGCACAAGCCUGAUCCAGCCAUGCCGCGUGAGUGACGAAGGUCUUCGGAUUGUAAAGCUCUUUUUGGCGGGGACGAUAAUGACGGUACCCGCAGAAUAAGCCCCGGCUAACUUCGUGCCAGCAGCCGCGGUAAUACGUAGGGUGCAGGCGUUAAUCGGAAUUACUGGGCGUAAAGCGCACGUAGGCGGAUGUGCCAGUCAGGGGUGAAAUCCCGGAGCUCAACUCCGGAACUGCCUCUGAUACUGCACGUCUUGAGUUCGAGAGAGGUGGGUGGAAUUCCUAGUGUAGAGGUGAAAUUCGUAGAUAUUAGGAAGAACACCGGUGGCGAAGGCGGCCCACUGGCUCGAUACUGACGCUGAGGUGCGAAAGCGUGGGGAGCAAACAGGAUUAGAUACCCCGGUAGUCCCUGAGCGGGCUGGCAAGGCGCAU
rnacentral:rRNA from 1 species